rnacentral:tRNA from 1 species
UGUAGGGUGGUGAAACAGGCAGACACACCUCCUUGUCUCGGUGGCGGAGAAUAUGGGAAACUGGCGACAGCUAACCACUCCUUGAAGGUUCGAUUCCUUCCCCUACAG